rnacentral:tRNA from 1 species
CCUUCGAUAGCUCAGCGGUAGAGCGGAGGACUGUAGAUCCUUAGGUCGCUGGUUCAAAUCCGGCUCGAAGGA